rnacentral:lncRNA from 1 species
UUAUUUCGCGUGAACAAAAGUAGGUUAUUAUAGGCUGCCAUUGCUAUAAUUGACUAUACUAAACAUAUAAGCUUAUAUCACACUUUUUUAUUAACGGACAAAAGCUGGCAUAAACGCGAUCCACCGAACCGGAAACAAUCAAUGCAGAAGAAACUAAUAUGUUCUCUUCAGCCACACCCGCUUCAUUGGCGAGUAGCACUAUAAGUUUCCGUUCAGUUUAUGUUUCAAAUAUUUCGGAUCUUUUAGACUUGUUGGUCUUAUGGUGAGUCUAAAUUCUAAUUUGGUGUCACCGAUUUUGUUGAUUCCGGUAUUUUGUCUCCGUUCUGGAACCUAAACUGUGAUCGCUUCUUUUAAUGAACAUUCUCCUAUUUUGAAGACUAAAUUGUGCUUUGUGCAGAACUUACAUGCGCAGCUUGUUGGUCGACCUGUUCGAUGGUAAAAUCGGUGAAAAUGCAGUGAAAGUGAUGCCGUAUUUUUUAUGUUGUAUUUAUUUUUUAGCCAUCGAGUAAGGUAUCUUCGCUAAGCGGCAAUACUUUAUGUCACUAGCAUCCUCUCACUCGUAUGAUUACCUUUCACCACUUAUCUGUGCAAUGCCCUAAUUUAAUUCUAUAUAUUGUUAAUAAAUUCCCUAUUUGACGGUCGCGGUAUAUUUUCUGCUGGACAUAAGUCUUCAAAAUGAAAAUAUCUUGGCACCUUCGAGAAUAGCAGACUAUGCAGCCAAUAUAAAAUUCAAGUUCUAAAAAGCAUGGCCACAUUCAAGACCCGCCCAGGCAUUGCUCGCUGGGAAUUAACUAAUUCUGCACAGUUAGUUAGACACGCAGACAUCACCUAGUCACUCGCAUAUAAAGUUGCGCGAUACGUUGUGGCCGAGGCCUCGACCCGUAGUAAUGAUGCGAUGGUGGGAGCGUUCUGAACUUCUGAUUGCUCUGAAACUCGAACGGUGAUCUUAAGUACUUUUGUCACAGAUAAUUUGCGGCGGCAAUUCACCAGUGUAAUGGCUCACCAUAUUGUUAAUCGGAUCGUUGAUUCACUGCACGGGUACUCAGUAUUUAUCCUCUCAUUACAGUAAAUGGAAAUUUUUAGAACAUUUAGAGGAUUUUAUAUAGUCUUUCUCCCUAUUACCAGCACAUGUCGAAGCUUUAGUAUUUGCUAGUGGGAAUUAUGCUAUAUCACGUGUUUGGUUCAUCACUUUAAUCCCUGUCAUCGGCUGAGACGACCAAGGUGGUGCCAGCUUAGAAGGAAAUAAGCCUUGAGCCAUGACUUGGAGCGACAGUACCUGAAUGGCCUCAGCCGUUGCCUUACCCUAACAAAAUUUAGAGGCGUGAGCGACCCUGCAUUAGGGCUGCCUAGGACUUGGGGGAGGGGGCACGUAGAUCAACUUCUCUAUGUCUGCUUCGGCUCAUGGUUCGAAAAGCAGCCUUUAAUUGGGCAGCUUGCUAGCUCGUUAUGACUCGGCACGGCCAACCCUUAUUAUUCUACUAGGCGAUUAUAAAGUCGGAAAGGAGAUUCUGACCCGAAACUGAUUCGAUCGGGUGGCCUAUCACACGCAGAAUAACUUUGCGCCAACUGUAGUGACUAUUCGGCCGAAGCCUAGGCGGUCCCCUAAUUUUGUUAAGGUACAUUUGCAGAACUGCUUGCGUUGUACAUGCGUGAGCAUUGUAUCAAAACGGUGUUUCAAUUUCUUAUUGUUAGAACCUUGGCCAGCCUUGAAAAUGUUGUUUCAUGAUAAAUGAAUUAUGACUACAUUAUUAAUGUUAUUAUUUGAUGAAAUAACCGGGAUAAUGUGCUAAUGCUUCACGCGCCUUCUUCGUGCCCAUGUCAUUUGUAGAUUCUUGCACAGGUAUUUAGUGAGUGUUUCUAUCAUAUGUUGUUUAAUCAAGUGUAAAUAAUAAUACUGUUGUUGUUAUGUCAUGACGCUAAAGCUAAAUCCCUCUUUCUCGCUAUCGUCAAAAUGGCUGUCGAUGAUCGACACAGAAGUGUCAAGCAGCUCAUCCAUUAUAGGAAGGUUUGAAUGACCAUUAACGCUUGCACUCUCCGUUGCUUCACCGCGUUUUGGUGUCAAAAAUUAUACAUCAAAUUACUCGUAUCAUGUCAUUUUCGCACGCCCAGUGUUGACGUGCGAGCCUCCAAGCUAAAAUCUUCGCUGAUUUCUGAAAUCAUUAAUUUUGCUCAGAGGAAGACAGCGUGUCAACCAAGACCGGCCGUACAGUAUCCUGGCUAUACAGUCAGUAUUAAUGCUAGCGAGCAGUGAACGCUAAGCAUUAUCAUUGGUCCUCGAGUUCCUCUAUAACCUGUGAUCGUGUGUGUUAAGGGCUUUUGGUAGUUCGUUUUGGUUCAGUGCCGAAUAUUUAAUGCCUCUGCUGACAAGAUUUUAAAAUGCAACGUGAGUUCUAUAACCCCUAUAUUUAUGUAUACUUUAUUGUAUUGGAUAAAUAUAUGCUUCUUGCA